rnacentral:lncRNA from 1 species
AGGAUCACAGGUGUGUGCUUCACUCCACGGAGAACUCCACGGGGGGUAGUAAACAUCCCCAUUCUGUUUACUACCAUGGAAGGCAUAGCCUGAAUAGAGGAAGGAAAAGCAUGUGGAAGCUGGAUAGAGUGAAAGAACUUGUGCUUUGGGGCGAGAGAGUCUGUGUCCCAUCCUGGAUCAUUCCCUGACCACAUGGCCUUAGGUGUCCAUGUGUUUGGGGCAAAAAUGAGCCACUGCUAACAAUUGUAAAGAAAGAGAGAACAGCUGUUUGCAUCUGGAUAUGGGGUAAGAAAGAACAGCUGCUGGCAGCGGUGGCAGACAAGAAAGUGAGCAAAUGAGCAGCUGUUGGUAAUUCAGAAUCUCAUCAGCCACACAGAAUAAUUGAAAUCCAGAACCAUGCAGGGCUCGACUUAACAGCUUUAUUGCAUCCUGCUGUUCAUUAGAUCCUGCCUGUCCUCCAUUAGAGAUUCCUGUGAUAGCUACAUGAGGACUCUCAACAGGAAUAUCCACCCCGACAUCCCCAUCCACAACCCUUUGAAGAAGCAACCCAAGAGAGGUAAAAAGGCACAGACUUUUCUUCCAGUAAGUCCAUACCUAUUUUUACACAAAGGAAGACAAGGGAAGGGAUAUUAACACACAUGGGAAUGAUCACAAGAUUGGCCAAAAAUAAUUAUUUCUGUAUUAUAAGAAAUUAUAGCCAUUUUAAUGAUGAACUCACAUUU